ensembl:snRNA U1 U1 spliceosomal RNA
AUACUUACCUGCCAGCGGAGAUACUGUGAUCAGGCAGGUGGUUUCCCCAGGGUGAGGCUUAUGCCCUGCACUCCGGGUAUGCUGAUCCCUGCGAUUUUUCAGCAAUGGGGGAAAGUCGACUGCAUAAUUUGUGGUAGUGGGGGACUGCGUUCGCGCUUUCCCCUG